AUGGAGGACCUUCCCGCGGAGGUUCAACCUGUUAUAAUGUCACUGUUGCCACUGAAAGAGGCCGUGAGGACAAGCAUUGUUUCAAGAAGUUGGAGAACGCUCUGGAGAUUCCAUUGUAAUCUAUGUUUUGAUGGUCCCAAUGAUCCGGACUCUGACACCGAUGACGAGUUCGCUGGUCAGGACAGUACCAAAAUGAAACGGGCAAAGUUCAUUGAGACUGUAAAUUCGGUUAUUCAACAGCAUAGUGGGAUAGGAGUCAAUAAGUUCAGCAUCCGGUGUGGCCUGCCCAAAGAAGACUCUCAUCAUCUUGACAGGUGGAUUUCGUUUGCCACUUCAUUGAAGGCAAAGAUAAUACAUUUUGAUCUGAUCAUAAUUGAUUGGCCACUCGAAGAAGUUCACCACUUCCCUCUUGAGGCCUUAGAUGCUCAAGGUGGCUCAUUUGUCCAGUCAUUGUUUCUUGCUGCUGUUUCUAUACCACACUCAGGAAUACGUGGCCUUACAAUACUCAGAAGACUUGUUCUGGAAUCUGUUCAGAUAUUUGGGGAUUUCCCUGGCUUGCUUGCAAAGUGUUCAGCACUUGAGGACUUAGAGAUCAUUGACUGCUCUGGUGUUACUAAUUUAAGCAUACCCCACAAACUCGAUAAACUUCGACAUUUGCUAAUUGAUAGUAGUACAACGGAUAUCGAGGUGGUUGAGCUUCAUGCUGCUGAUCUUGCUCAUUUUGAGUACAAAGGGCGAGUGAUCCCUAUAGUACUUCAUGGUUGCUCAAAAUUAGAGAAGGCAACAAUAAUGUUUGUGGACACUAAAGCACUGGCCCAUACAUUCACUGCAGUUCCAAGCAUUUUGCCAGUGAGGAUAUUACAUGUGCAAGCAAUUAUAUCAAAAUAUGCACAGUUGCAGAAGCUGCCAACAAUACCAGAGGGCAUGUUUAUGAAUUUGAGGCAUAUGACUUUAAUUGUGGAGAUGCAAAUGACGAUAAUGAAGUUCUUCAAUUAG
rnacentral:rRNA from 1 species